rnacentral:rRNA from 1 species
ACUCAAAGGAAUAGACGGGGGCCCGCACAAGCAGUGGAUUAUGUGGUUUAAUUCGAAGCAACGCGAAGAACCUUACCAGGGCUUGACAUGGAAUGGCAUAUAUCAGAGAUGAUAUAGACCCUACGGGGAACAUUCACACAGGUGGUGCAUGGUUGUCGUCAGCUCGUGUCGUGAGAUGUUGGGUUAAGUCCCGCAACGAGCGCAACCCCUAUUGUUAGUUGCUACGCGAGAGCACUCUAGCGAGACUGCCGUUGACAAAACGGAGGAAGGCGGGGACGACGUCAAAUCAUCAUGCCCCUUAUGUCCUGGGCUACACACGUAAUACAAUGGCGUUAAACAGAGGGAAGCGAAGUCGCGAGAUGGAGCAAAUCCCGAAAAGGCGUCUCAGUUCGGAUCGCAGGCUGCAACUCGCCUGCGUGAAGUCGGAAUUGCUAGUAAUCGCGGAUCAGCAAGCCGCGGUGAAUACGUUCCCGGGCCUUGUACACACCGCCCGU